rnacentral:rRNA from 1 species
UUGAUCCUGGCUCAGGACGAACGCUGGCGGCGUGCCUAAUACAUGCAAGUCGAACGCUUUGAUUUUCACCGGAGCUUGCUCCACCGAAAAUCAAAGAGUGGCGGACGGGUGAGUAACACGUGGGCAACCUGCCCAACAGAGGGGGAUAACACUUGGAAACAGGUGCUAAUACCGCAUAAUUUGUUUUCCCGCAUGGGAGAAUAAUAAAAGACGCUUCGGUGUCACUGUUGGAUGGGCCCGCGCUGCAUUAGUUAGUUGGUGGGGUAAUGGCCUACCAAGACCGUGAUGCAUAGCCGACCUGAGAGGGUGAUCGGCCACACUGGGACUGAGACACGGCCCAGACUCCUACGGGAGGCAGCAGUAGGGAAUCUUCGGCAAUGGACGAAAGUCUGACCGAGCAACGCCGCGUGAGUGAAGAAGUUUUCGGAUCGUAAAACUCUGUUGUUAGAGAAGAACAAGUGGGAGAGUAACUGUUCCCACCUUGACGGUAUCUAACCAGAAAGCCACGGCUAACUAC